rnacentral:sRNA from 1 species
ACGGAAAACUCGCUGCUGCCCCAACCUGGCUUGACAGGCUUGGUCUCUGCAAGUGGCUCUCAGCCCCUUCUUCUUUCCUGCCUCACCUUCCAGUUCGUUUGCCGCCGCCGUCCCGCAGCUGCUGUUUCCGGAGUUGCCCCUUCCCCAUGUUCCGGGGCAGGAGUCCGCAAAGCGAAGAUCCGCCCGCCGGUUCCCCAUCAUGUCCGAACUGACUAAAGAGCUGAUGGAGCUGGUGUGGGGCACCAAGAGCAGUCCCGGUCUCUCGGACACCAUUUUCUGCCGCUGGACGCAAGGGUUUGUGUUUAGUGAAUCAGAGGGAUCUGCAUUAGAACAGUUUGAAGGUGGCCCCUGUGCUGUUAUUGCACCUGUUCAGGCAUUUCUUUUGAAGAAGCUCCUGUUUUCUUCGGAGAAGUCUUCUUGGCGGGAUUGUUCAGAGGAAGAGCAGAAGGAACUCCUUUGUCAUACCUUGUGUGAUAUUUUAGAAAGUGCUUGUUGUGACCACUCUGGAUCAUACUGCUUGGUUUCAUGGUUAAGAGGAAAGACAACUGAGGAAACUGCUAGUAUUUCUGGGAGUCCUGCAGAGUCUAGUUGCCAAGUGGAACAUUCUUAAAAAGAUCGUUCAGAAGUUUACCAGAAUUAAAAGAUGCUGUCUUGGACCAGUAUUCAAUAUGGGGAAAUAAAUUUGGAGUAUUGCUUUUUCUGUAUUCUGUAUUACUGACAAAGGGCAUUGAAAACAUAAAAAACGAAAUUGAAGAUGCAAGUGAACCCUUGAUAGAUCCUGUAUAUGGACAUGGCAGCCAAAGUUUAAUUAAUCUCCUGCUGACGGGACAUGCUGUUUCUAAUGUAUGGGAUGGUGAUAGAGAGUGCUCAGGAAUGAAACUUCUUGGUAUACAUGAACAAGCAGCUGUAGGAUUUUUAACACUAAUGGAAGCUUUAAGAUACUGUAAGGUUGGUUCUUACUUGAAAUCUCCAAAAUUCCCUAUUUGGAUUGUUGGCAGUGAGACUCACCUCACCGUAUUUUUUGCCAAGGACAUGGCUUUAGUUGCCCCUGAAGCUCCUUCAGAACAAGCCAGAAGAGUUUUUCAAACCUACGACCCAGAAGAUAAUGGAUUCAUACCCGAUUCACUUCUGGAAGAUGUGAUGAAAGCAUUGGACCUUGUUUCAGAUCCUGAAUAUAUAAAUCUCAUGAAGAAUAAAUUAGAUCCAGAAGGAUUAGGAAUCAUAUUAUUGGGCCCAUUUCUUCAAGAAUUUUUUCCUGAUCAGGGCUCCAGUGGUCCAGAAUCUUUUACUGUCUACCACUACAAUGGAUUGAAGCAGUCAAAUUAUAAUGAAAAGGUCAUGUACGUAGAAGGGACUGCAGUUGUGAUGGGUUUUGAAGAUCCCAUGCUACAGACAGAUGACACUCCUAUUAAACGCUGUCUGCAAACCAAAUGGCCAUACAUUGAGUUACUCUGGACCACAGAUCGCUCUCCUUCACUAAAUUAAUUUACCUAAGUAUUUAUAAGGAAGAUCUUAAUAACAGAUGUUGAAAGAAGGAGUCAAGACUGGCAGUUGGCUGGAUUAAGCUAAACACUGGUAUCAUUGAUUAACUGUAAAUAACAAUUAAAAACACAUUUUCAGUGUUUAUGAUAUGUUUAAAUUAUUUGUCCUAAAGCUUUAUGUUAAAGAUUAUCCUAUUUUACCCCUUUGUGUGAAAUUUACUAGCAAAAUUAAGCUUUCAUCAAAGUUCAUCACUUUUGCAUUCAGAUACUUGGUCAUUUACUUACCAAAUUACAAACGCAAUACUACAGCAUUUGUAUAUUAAGUAUCACAGUUACUAUUUAUAAACUACUUUUGGGUUUUAUUUCAUUGAGGCACUUUUUUUAUUGUUUGAAUGAUUCCGGCUUGUAAUAUAUCAGCCUCUACAAUGAAAUGCAGAAGAGUUCAUUUUUCUUAGAUCUGUUUUUCAUUAGAAAUACUGACAAAUAACACAUUGUCAACCUGGAUCCUUUGACAAUUUACUUAACUCUGGCAUGUUCACAAAAAGUAGAAACUCUAAGAGACCAUUACCAUUUAUUCACAGAUGUAUAGGGGAUGUAUUCUAAAAACUGACAGAAAAGAGAAUCUGAUAGUCAACACUGUUAACUUUUACUGUGUAAUUGCCAAAUACACUUUUCCAAAUUUGUCCCAACAGCCCUGUAAGCCAGCUUUCUUCUAUAUUUAUAAACACGAUAAAUGCAUGAGAACAUCUGUUAUUACAUUAGUAUAUUACGUUAUUUAUUAUGAUCCUAGUUGAUGGCCUAAAUAAACACCUUUUUCUUUAACUGU